UAACAUGUAUGUGUAAUGGCUAAUAUUGU
rnacentral:sRNA from 1 species